rnacentral:rRNA from 1 species
AUUGAACGCUGGCGGCAGGCCUAACACAUGCAAGUCGAGCGGAUGAGAGGAGCUUGCUUCUCGAUUCAGCGGCGGACGGGUGAGUAAUGCCUAGGAAUCUGCCUGGUAGUGGGGGACAACGUUUCGAAAGGAACGCUAAUACCGCAUACGUCCUACGGGAGAAAGCAGGGGACCUUCGGGCCUUGCGCUGUCAGAUGAGCCUAGGUCGGAUUAGCUAGUUGGUGAGGUAAUGGCUCACCAAGGCGACGAUCCGUAACUGGUCUGAGAGGAUGAUCAGACACACUGGAACUGAGACACAGUCCAGACUCCUACGGGAGGCAGCAGUGGGGAAUAUUGGACAAUGGGCGAAAGCCUGAUCCAGCCAUGCCGCGUGUGUGAAGAAGGUCUUCGGAUUGUAAAGCACUUUAAGUUGGGAGGAAGGGUUGUAGAUUAAUACUCUGCAAUUUUGACGUUACCGACAGAAUAAGCACCGGCUAACUCUGUGCCAGCAGCCGCGGUAAGAC